UACGUAGGGGGCGAGCGUUAUCCGGAAUUACUGGGCGUAAGGCGCACGCAGGCGGUUCGCCAAGUUUGGAGUGACAGUUGUCGGCUCAACCGACAAAGGACUUCAAAAACUGGCGAACUUGAGGACGAGAGAGGAACAUGGAACUCCAGGUGUAGUAGUGAAAUGCGUAGAUAUCUGGAAGAACACCAAUGGCGAAGGCAAUGUUCUGGCUCGUUUCUGACGCUCAGGUGCGAAAGCCAGGGGAGCGAACGGG
rnacentral:rRNA from 1 species